rnacentral:rRNA from 1 species
AGAAACCAACAGGGAUUGCCCUAGUAACGGCGAGUGAAGCGGCAACAGCUCAAAUUUGAAAUCUGGCUCUUUCAGAGUCCGAGUUGUAAUUUGCAGAGGGCGCUUUGGCGUUGGCAGCGGUCCAAGUUCUUUGGAACAGGACGUCACAGAGGGUGAGAAUCCCGUACGUGGUCGCUAGCCUUCGCCGUGUAAAGCCCCUUCGACGAGUCGAGUUGUUUGGGAAUGCAGCUCUAAAUGGGAGGUAAAUUUCUUCUAAAGCUAAAUACUGGCCAGAGACCGAUAGCGCACAAGUAGAGUGAUCGAAAGAUGAAAAGCACUUUGGAAAGAGAGUCAAAUAGCACGUGAAAUUGUUGAAAGGGAAGCGCUUGCAGCCAGACUUGCCUGUAGUUGCUUAUCUGGACUUUUGUCCGGUGCACUCUUCUGCGGGCAGGCCAGCAUCAGUUUGGGCGGUUGGAUAAAGGUCUCUGUCAUGUACCUCCUUUCGGGGAGGCCUUAUAGGGGAGACGACAUGCAACCAGCCUGGACUGAGGUCCGCGCAUCUGCUAGGAUGCUGGCGUAAUGGCUGUAAGCGGCCCGUCUUGAAACACGGACCAAGGAGUCUAACAUCUAUGCGAGUUUGGGG